CCAGUCCCCCAAUAGGGUCCGAGGCGGUGGUCAAAAACUGAAGGGUAAGUGUGUUGAAGCUUCCCUUGUGAAGGAGUUCAAGUCACAGGAAGGUGGAAGUACAGAAGCUGGCAGGGAGUUCCAGAGUUUACCAGAGAAAGGGGUGAAUGACUGACAAUACUGGUUAACUCUUGCAAUAGAGAGGUGGACAGAUCAGUGGUGAGAGAAAGAAGGUGUUGUGUAGCGAGGCCGCUGGAGAGGGGAGGCAUGCACGUGAGGCACACUCCAUACAUGGGCGAGUAUGGCCCCUGUACAGAGUUAGCAAGCUCUAAGGCCACGGAGACGAGGAGUGCCUGUGUUGUCACCACUGCCUCUAUCAAAGCUACGUGACUCAUUUCCCAUGCAUAUUCUCUCUCUCUCUCUCUCUCUCUCUCUCUCUCUCUCUCUCUCUCUCUCUCUCUCUCUCUCUCUCUCUCUCUCUCUCUCUCCCUCUCCCCUCCCCCCCUUCCUCUCGCUUUCUCUAUCUCUCUCUCCCGCUGCUUCCUUGGUUUAGUGUUGCCUGUGUUGUGCCCGAAAGCAGUGUUGUAUAUUUUAUUGCGCUGUGCCCGUAAUCAUUGAGUGACCGCCCUGUGCGUGUGUUGACGCGUCAGGAAGGGAGUGUUGCGUCUCCAGGCACCUCCCGCCUCACUCCUUGCUUCCUCCCGUCUCCCAGAGUCUACACACCUGCACUCUUGAGAUGCUGGUCGUGAACAAGUUGGCGACACGUUCUGGUGACCUCACUAGCGUGCUCGUAAAACUGCUGUGCUAACUGUGUCCGCGCCACCACAGCGUUGUAAGUGGCUGGCAUGUUGAGACACCCCUCCACCUGUGCCUG